ACGCGGUACAUGGCCCCUGC
rnacentral:misc_RNA from 1 species